GAUAUUUUAUUAAAAGCCACUUUGCAGCCACUUUGGCUGAAUUACGUAGAUUUUUACAAUAGUAUAUAAAUUUAAAUAUUAGACAUGUUAGCCUACUAAAUUAUUAUAAUAUAUCAUAGAUGGCACAAAAGUGUUCCUGAAGCGGUUAGUGUUAGUCAUUGGAAGAGCAUAGAGGCGUUUGUGUCUUAAGUUAUAUUUCGCUUGGUGUUUUGGCGGCAGCAGUGCAUGGAGUUUAUGGUCACUGUCAGUUGAUAUUUUAAGGAAAAGCUUUUCACACAGUGUUUGUCUUCGGACCGAUAAGGAGUUUAGUCCAGAUUGCUGCAGGCUCUCUGAAUAUGGCUGCCCUCUGUAAAUUAUAGCCAAGGAUCGUUUUUGUACUCGCUCAAGAUCGUCAGACAAGUACUUUGGUAAAGAGUGGUGGAAUACCGGUGAUGCGUAUUCGAGAGUGGGUCUAAUACAGGUACAAUAAAAGUUAACAAUAUCUGCCUCAGGAACAUUUGCACGUUUGAGUUGGACCAGACAAUACAGACGUUUGUUCGCUUUCUUGAUGACAUGGUCGACAUGGAGGUUCCAUUGUAAUGAUUUUGAGACUAUCAGGCCCAGGAUUUUUGCGUGGUCCACUAUUUUGAGUGGAACGUUGUCUACUUUAAUUGGGUCAAACUCCUGAUGAACACGCUUAAAGUCGAUCCUCAGCUCCUUGCAUUUUUCUGCGUUCAAGUGCAGUUUGUUGUCUGCAGACCAUUUCUCAACAGACGUGGUAGCGGAUUGAGUGUGGGUAAGGGAAUUCUUUGGAAUGAUUUCCGAAAUUGUCGUGUCGUCAACAAACUUCCACGUACUGACGCUGUUCACACGUAGGUCAUUCACCAUUAGAAGAAAUAGCCAGGGGCCUAACUUGGUGCCUUGGGGUACUCCUGAGGGGACGUGUCUCCAUGACGAAAGGGCGUCAGCAAGCUUCACUCUUUGGUAUCUGUUGGACAAAAAGUCGGUUAUCCAGGAGCAUACCUUUCGGGGUAAUGACGUCAGGUUUUGAAGUUUUUUAAUUAGGAUGGAAUGGUCAACUAGGUCAAAUGCCUUUCUAUAAUCAAAAAGAGUUACUCUAACUGUUGCGCCAGAUUUGUCUGUAGCUUGGGACCAUUCGUGGAUCAUUGAGAUCAGGGCAAGCACUGAAGAGGACUUUGGUAUGGCCCCGUACUGAUCCGGAUCUAAUGUAUUCAUUAUAGCAGGCGCUAUGUACUUUGUGAUCACAAAUUCUUCUGCAACUUUAGAGAUUGAUGGCGUCAAGGAGAUCGGUCGCAAAUGUUUGUUGACAUCAGUGGCUGGUUUUACCUUCGGGACUGGGAUGAUGUCAGCAUGUUUCCACAUUGACGGUAAUCUCUGUUCAUCAAAAGAAGAAUUGAUAAUAUUACAGACUGGUUUUGCGAGUAUCUCGGCAUACGUUUUACACAACCAGUUUGGGAUACCAUCAGGCCCGCUAGCUUUUCGAGGAUUAAUUCUCCUAAGUAGGUUAUAUGUAUCUAGUUCUGUCAAUUCAAAAGUCUCUAGGUCUGGACCAAACUCACCAUUGUUGAAUGGGUUGCUAGACAGAGGUUUAUAUUCACGCAUGGGUGGUAAGAAGGACUCGUUUAUUCUGUUUGCAAUUUCCUCUGGGUUACCUUUAUAAUCAUGUUCAUUAAAUUUUAGCUGCGUAAAACUGUUUACGUUGCUACUGUUGGGCUGCAUACCUGAAAUACGCUUCAGUUCACGCCACCAAACAGACGGUUUGGCACCCUUUAGAUGGAUUACUUUCGUGGAAAAGUAGUUGUCACGUAAACGCUUUCUCUCUCGGUUUACAAGGUUUCUGUAGUGACGAAAUUCUGACAUUUUUUUCUGAGCGAAAGCUUCCUGUCGGCGUUUAAUCAGGGUGAUAAAUUCAGGUGUUAUCCAAGGUUGAUUGUUGGUGUGUAAUUUUGUUUUCUUUAGUGGCAUUAUUAUAUCCAGUCCAGUUUUAAUUAAGUCCUCAAAUAAUUGUUCUUUCCUAUUGCACGACUUAAUAUCGUUGAGUAUGUCCCAGUUUAGGGAGCUAAGGUACCGUCCCAAUUCUUGUUUCCGAAUUUCCCUUGUGUCGCGUUUCCAAAAAACUUUUUUCCUAUCCCGAGAUGAAAACAGCCGCCUUUCUUUCGGAUUUAACAGUAAAACAUUGUGGUCGGAUAGGCCGAACGGAGGGAAGGAUGAAAGGGAGUUUUUGUCAUAGUAUUUAUUGAGAUUGGUGAGGAUAAGGUCUAGUGUUUGAUCGCCUCUUGUGUGUAGAUGAACAAGUUGUUUCAUUCGGAACUGACGAGACAGUCUGCUUACAUUGAGACGGUUAAAGUCGCCAGC
rnacentral:lncRNA from 1 species